rnacentral:pre_miRNA from 1 species
CUCGUACUCCCUCCGUUCGGAAUUACUUGUCUUAGAAAUGGAUGUAUCUAGAACUAAAAUACGUCUAGAUAUAUCUAUUUUUGCGACAAGUAAUUCCGAACGGAGGGAGUAGUAG